AGGAUGAACGCUGGCGGCGUGCUUAACACAUGCAAGUCGAACGAUGAACCUCACUUGUGGGGGGAUUAGUGGCGAACGGGUGAGUAACACGUGAGUAACCUGCCCUUGACUCUGGGAUAAGCCUGGGAAACUGGGUCUAAUACUGGAUAUGACUUCUCAUCGCAUGGUGGGGGGUGGAAAGCUUUAUUGCGGUUUUGGAUGGACUCGCGGCCUAUCAGCUUGUUGGUGGGGUAAUGGCCUACCAAGGCGACGACGGGUAGCCGGCCUGAGAGGGUGGACGGCCACACUGGGUCUGAGACACGGCCCAGACUCCUACGGGAGGCAGCAGUGGGGAAUAUUGCACAAUGGGCGCAAGCCUGAUGCAGCGACGCCGCGUGGGAUGAAGGCCUUGGGUUGUAAACCUCUUUCAGUAGGAAGAAGCGAAAGUGACGGUACCUGCAGAAGAGCGCGGCUAACUACGUGCCAGCAGCCGC
rnacentral:rRNA from 1 species